rnacentral:misc_RNA from 1 species
GUGAAUCAUCAAAUUUUUGAACGCAAAUUGCACUCUCCUCUGAGAGUAUGCCUGUUUGAGGGUCAGCCUAUAAAAAUCGACAUCGUUUAUGUUUCUCUGUGGCGUUCGUCGGAACUUGGGUCAUCUUAAAUCCUGUUGAUUUAAGCGACUUAAAAUUUUCUUUUGGUCCCAUGAUCGUUUCUAAGCUCUAUCUCUUUACACGUUUCAGGUAUCGAUUUUUACUAGACGUGACCAUCAUAUCGGAUCCCGUCCAUAAUCUUUCAUUAACUGACAUCAUACGGGUAAGAGUACCCGCUGAA